ACUAAAAAAAUAAAUAAAUAAAUAAAAAGGAACAAUAUAGAGAAGAUUAGCAUGUCCCCUGCGCAAGGAUGACAUGCAAAUUUGUGAAGUGUUCCAUAUUAGA
rnacentral:snRNA from 1 species